rnacentral:lncRNA from 1 species
AUGAGGAGUUCUCCUUUGUUAGUAAUCCCACCGCACCUCUCUUCAAGCUAUUUUGUUACUUGCCAGAGCAUCGCUUCAGAGAGGAGCAGGCUCAGCAAGAAACUAUGGCAACAAACCAAAGCUGCUUUGCCUUUAAAAGUUCAUCUUCACCUCGUCCAAGAGAAGCAGAAAGGUGACUGGGUCAGCCUGGAGGUAUAUCCACUUGAGAAGGUUUCCAUGUGAGCAGCAAAUUAACCAUGUGGCAGAAUGGUGAGUCGUCCCUCUUGUUAGGGUUAAUUUAGGAAGAGAUGCUCUCUCCUCAAAGGCUGCCUCUGGGGGCUGGUUGGGAGGGCCAUGGCUGUGGUCACGCGUGAAGUCAGGCAGUGAAUUGCAGAGACAUGGGAAAGAACGAUUUCCUCAGACUAUGCUGUGGGACAACGUUUCUGGGAAUCCCAGUGCUGUCUGGGGGACCCUGUGGGGACAAGCGUGGUCUCUCCGUGUGUCUUUUAGAGAGGUCAGGCCAUAGUCAGUGCCCUGGGACAGGAAACGUGGCUGCGUGCAGUGUCAGGCACAGGCACGUGCUGAGCUGAUUCAUCCAAACUCAGACCCAAAUGGUCCUUCCAGGGCGCUCUGCUCCCAGCUCGUUAGCCGUAAUUCCAUCAAAGUGCAUGUGUGUGUGGAGAUGAUGCAGCCCUCGUUACUGGAAGGAAAUCUUACCCACUAACGG